CAAAGAUCAGAAACCUAAUCCCACAGCUGGAAAAGAGGCCAGACACACGCUCUACAUCGACAUAAACAUAGUCUAAGAGGCCAUGUCCCAGUGGGCAGGUUGAACCUUAAUAUCUGUUUCCAGGUUUUUACUAAUUGUGCUACAGACUAGGGGCUGAAAGAUGCCUGAGCAGACACUAACUGGAGACAAGAGCUUCCAGGAGAUACUGAGAGCUUCUGCCAUGAGUUCCAUGACCCUGGAAGUGAAGGCUUAGCCCAUGUCCAUGUGUAUGAUCUGUGACUCGCCAAAUCAAGGAAUGAUGUAGUCCAGGAGUACCCGAGCCACCAUAUCUGCUGUUUCCCUGGAGGUGGAAAACAUUUCUGUCCAUCCUGUAAAAGUGUCAACAACGUUAGCAGAGAAUGGAGUUUUUAUAAGUGGACACAUGAGUGAAAUCAACCUGCCAAUCUUCACCCCGGUGAUGUCCACGAAGCUGGUGCAGAGGCCCCUAUGGAUUGGCCUUGGCACACGUCUGGCAGGAGGAGUGAAUCUGUGAAUAUGUGCUCAGAGAUGGAGAUGGGUGGGGCCAAAGAGGGGCUCUAAGGAAUGAAACAAAGCCUUGGGGCCUAUGUGUACGUCUGGUGGAUGUCUGAAAUGAUCGACAAUGCCUGGCCCUGGGAGGAUGAGACAGUUAUUUAGGUAGAACCAUCCUUCCUUUUUGUGGUCCCCUUUUUCAUGAGUUUGUCCCUGUCUUCUGGUUAAUAACAGGGCUGAUAGGAGGGAGUCAAAACCAAAAUAUGUUCUGUUGAUCCAGAGGAGCUGGAGGCCAGCCCUCGGGCUAACGAGUCAACCUUGGCAUUGCCUAAGGCCCCUGGGUCCUUGGAGGACUGGUGUCUCCAGUAGUGAAUUAUGACUACUUCUGCAGGAAGCUGAAGGGUCUCCAAGAGCUUGGCUUUAAGGGGGCAGUUAACUGUGGGAGUAUCCUUGGUAGUGAGGAAGCCCCCUUCCUUCCAUAGGACAGAUGAGUAUGGGCUAUUAAAAAGGCAUAUGUAGAGUCCGUAUAGAUGUUAGCCCAUUGACACUUGGCUAUCCUUGGCUAUCUGGAGUGCUCUAGUCAAGGCAAUUAAUUUGGCCUUUGUGAAGAGGUUCCCAUAGGCUGGCGGGUCACUUCAAUUGUUUUAGGGGAAGUGACCACUGCUUGUGCUACCUGGCGGUUCACUGACCUGUCCAUAAAAGAAUUUCCAUCAACAAAC